AGUCCCGCAACGAGCGCAACCCUUAUAUCUAGUUGCCAGCAGUAAGAUGGGGACUCUAGAUAGACUGCCAGUGAUAAACUGGAGGAAGGUGGGGAUGACGUCAAAUCAUCAUGCCCCUUAUGACCUGGGCUACACACGUACUACAAUGGGAGUUAAUAGACGGAAGCAAUACCGCGAGGUGGAGCAAACCCGAGAAACACUCUCUCAGUUCGGAUCGUAGGCUGCAACUCGCCUACGUGAAGUCGGAAUCGCUAGUAAUCG
rnacentral:rRNA from 1 species